rnacentral:rRNA from 1 species
AUUGAACGCUGGCGGCAGGCCUAACACAUGCAAGUCGAACGAGUGGCGGACGGGUGCGUAAUGGCUGGGAAACUGCCUGAUGGAGGGGGAUAACUACUGGAAACGGUAGCUAAUACCGCAUACCCUCAGAUGUGCCCCGAUGGGAUUGGCUAGGUGGUGGGGUAACGGCCAACCAAGGCGACGAUCCCUAGCUGGUCUGAGAGGAUGACCGGCACCACUGGAACGGAGACACGGUCCAGACUACUACGGGAGGCGGCAGUGGGGAAUAUUUCACAAGGGGCGCAAGCCUGAUGCAGCCAUGCGGCGUGUAGGAAGAAGGCUUUCGGGGUGUAAAGUACUGUCAGCGGGGAGGCGUUACCCGCAGAAGAAGCACCGGCUAACUCCGUGCCAGCAGCCGCGGUAAUUC